UAGCAUUUGAUUUGUUACAGAGCCACAACUGUGCCAGCAACCUCUCUGAAAAGUUCAUGAAGGAGUAAAGGUGAAGAGCUGUUCUUGAUCUACCAGAAUGAAAGUGAAAGCACUGAGCAGCGUAGAAAUGUUGAGUGGGAGAGAUGAUCAGCCUGCGUUUUUCACCUGUGGAAGAAGAUGAAGUUCUAUCAAAGUAGAACACGCUCCUUCUUGUUCUGUAAUGUUAUCCCAAAAUAUUCACCCGCCCCUGCUACUGCAGAAGAAACAACAAACUGAUGUUUGGGGCAGGGAGAGAUUGAUAGUUCAGAAAGUGCUAGGGUGACAUGUCCAUGGAUUCAGGGUAGCUGUCUUGGUGGUUGCUGUUAACCUGUCCCAGAUCGCACUGGGACUGGGACCCUUGCAUGGAUGAUGGUGAUUUCCGUGUCUGAACCUGUGCCAAUAUGUAGGUAGGAGGGCUGGGGAAGAGAUGAAACAGCUGUCAGGCCAAGCACGGGCUUCUUGGAAGAGCAGCUGGGGUGGAACAGGUUGGAAAAGGCUUCAAGGAUUGUUUCUGUGGGAAUGGACCGACCGUCCUGCUGCUUAAUUCAUGGCUAAGGCAAACCCAUUUGGGCUAACUUAGCUCUCUUCCAUUGCAACCGCAACCCUGUUCUCAGUUCUGGGCUGUCUGUGCAUAAAGGCCAGGUGUUCCCUCUUUCUGCAAAAUUCAAUUCCUGAGAGACAGCCAGUGUAUCCAAGCCCCAAAGUCAAGGAGAUAACAUGCAGGCGCAACCAGACAUUAACUGUCCUUCUCAGCAAAGGAAGAACCAUCAGUUUGUGGAGACAAAGAAGCACAGUUCAGCAGAGGGCAUUCCACCGCUUUCACACCCAGAGCUGAGGUAUGAAACAUCUGUAUCUGGGGGCAAGAACACCUGUGUAGCCAGUGGUUCUCCAUGUCUGUUUCCUCAUAAGGAACUUGGAAUCAGUGAAUCGAGGUAGGUUGCAGCCCUGUUCAUCUUUAGGCUCUCAUCGAUUGCAGUCCAUGUAGCAAACUGCUACAGAACUUUGGGAGGGCCUCUGCCUCCCACCUCAGAUCACUCUGCAGCAGAAAAAAAUGUUUCCAUUAGCCUGAGGACACUUUGAGGGGCGGGUAAGAUUUGGAUGAUUGUUUGUAAGAGUAUUUUGAUACUUUGAAGGAGGAAAAUAAAAGUAGAAUGGGUGGUAGCAAUGUUGUUCAUGGAAGAAUUUGGUUCCUAGGCUGUGCUGUCCCUGUAGGCCCUGAAAUGGGCAGCAUGGAGAAUUCUGGUGGAUCUAGAGCGGAUGUCAGCUGUCCAUCACUUUCUAGAGCUUACUCUUCCCUGAUAUGUAAAUGAGCACUGACUACAGGAAAUCAUGGUGAGAGCUGGAGACAGCCUUCUACCCCCUUGGUGACUCCUUUCUCAUCGAAAAACGAUGUGGAAUGAAAUUCCAAACAAAUCAUGCUAAAAUGCUGUACAGAACUUGCUAAAUCUUCAUUCUAGCAAUUCCUGUGAGCAUUUCCAUCAUUUAGUAGUUGUAUGUCUCUGUUACAGAAAAGUUUUUGAUGCUCUGUAAGGGUUUCCAGUGCCCUUGGCUUUUCAGAGUGGAUAUUUGUGCAACUACUACUUUCUUCGCCUUCUGGGAGAUGAACCUCACAGCCUGCCCACAUUCCCCCGAGGUUUCGCUUACUGAUGAGGGCUAUUACUAUAACAGAUGAAGUCAGCACAACUCUGAAGUAAUGUAAUGAAUCAAAAACAAGUACCUCCUGCCUUUGCCAAUGCAAACUCUGGGAUUUUCUGCCUCUUUCUAGUACUGUCAAUGCUUCUUGCCUCUGCACAGGUGAGAGGCACUGCAUAAGAAUCUUAGACAAAGCUUGGCUUCUCAGCCUUCUUAACCUUAGUAUGCGUUUAAUGCUAUUAACAGUAACAUCCUUCUUAAAUAUUGAAUGCAGUUCCUAGAGGCUUGCUUUUCCGAUUUCAUUCCUCUUUAUCCAGCUCUCCUUCCCCUGACUGGAAGCAAAAAAUCCCCAGCAAGCAAAUCUUGCCACUGUGCCACAUCCCCCUCAGAUCCCAGCACAAUGUUUCCUCUGCAGCCUGCAUACCCCAGCUGGCUGCCAAAAUAGCCCUUGCAGCCAACCCCCAUGUAGUCCGGAGGAAAGUCUCUUACAAAUUCAACCUGGAGCUGAAAGGCAAGGCAGGCUUCCUCUGGCUAGUCUCUCCUCUUCAAUGAAGACAUGAAUGAGAAUAUUGGCCAGCAUUUCUGGUGGAGCUGCAUAAGCCAGGACAUUUACUAAGCACAAACUGCAUCUUCCAGCUUAACUGAAACAAAACACAGCCUUACCUUAUCUUAGUCACAGAAGCCAGCAGGAGCUCUCUCCAUCCUCAAGUGCUUCACUGGUUUUGAGCUUGAAUUUCUUUCCCUGAACUUUGAGUUAUUCAGUAGCGGAUUUAGAGGUUUCCUGUAUUUCACAAAAGCAUUUCCUAACAAUUAAUGGUUCCAACAAGCCGUCUGUUGACACGUUGACAUAAAAAAUGUAUUUUCUUUUUCUUGUUCCCUUGGCUGCAGUGAGUUAGUUCAUUUGGGAUUACAAUGGUAGCACAGUAGGACUUGGUUUGUCUUUUCCUUGCAUGCAAUUUUGUUGAAAGUGUGAAUUGUAAAAGGCGUUUGAAUGAGGCAAAGUAAAAACCGUUUUUUUAAAUGAAAGGCCGUUAACAUUUUCUUCUCUUCCCCAGCCUCAAAGCUUUGCAAAAUCUUGGAAGUUCAGUGGCUUCUGUAGAAAUGCUUAAAUUAAAGCCUUUUCACCCCUCUACUGAGGUCGGUUUUCAGAGGAAACAAGACAUUCGUGUUCACGCUGUUGGUGCCUGUCUUGGUCUCCUCUUAGUAGCAGUGGGAUGCCUUGGCCAAUUCUAACGUCCUUUGCAGCAGAGGUGGAGGUCCUGCAACAAGCCAAUGCAGCAUGUGGCUCCGAGGCUGCAGUUCCCAAAAUGAUCUGUGGCCCAGGUACAAAACUGGCUGGUCAGUCGGCCAGGGCAGGAGAUGGAGGAGGGCAAUGCGGUGAGGCAUAGCGCAGAAAGCAAAAGAAAAUGAGUGGGCUUUUGCAGAGGUUGAGGUAGGUGACAUGCAAGACUGCUGUAGGGGCACGUGUUCAUCAGCUGUCAUUUCCAGCAUCUGAGCUGAGCGAACCUGAAUAGAAGUGAAGAAACGUAACUAGGAGGAGAGCUGGACCGCAAGUGCCCGGAUUUCCUAAAAUCCACGGACAAGACCUUGGCUGGAAAUAGUUUGCACUUCCUCUACUUCUAAGCACUCUGCUUCCUAAAGGGGUAGAGUGGGGAAGCAAAAAAAGUAACGUUGGGAGGAUACAGGUUUUUCAGAAGUCACCAGGAGAUUGUUGACUCUCCUGUCGAAAAUUCAGUCAGACACAUUUUUAUCUAACUGUGAAAAAAUACUUUCAGAUUAGCUUGGAUUUAUGUUUGUUCCUGUUACAAAGGAACACCCUGAGAUGAUGUUUGGCUUCAAAAAACUGAAGGGCAAUGGCAUAAGGCUAUCAGCACAAAUUAACAGGGCUGAAGCAAGGAAAUCUGAAGAGUUCUUGUAAAUCUCAAAAGCUUACAUCAGAAGUGGGGGACAAAAAGAUUUUGCCUAAACAAAAAAUGAGUAUCAGCAAAGUAGAAUUAACCAAGAAAUCCGUUAACCAAACUAUCACUCCUCUGCCAGAGAUGACAGAACCAGUGCCUCCAAACUUCCCUGAAAGUCUACUACGAGAGACAGAAGACUCACUAAAGCAGGCUACUGCUGAAUUAUAAGAGAAAAAAAAUCUAGUAGUACAAAUGAAGAAGAGACGGCUGUAGAACCAUGAGUAUUCCUUGUCAUCUGAAAAUAAUUCUUUCUACAAAAGAGCAAGUGUUACCAAUGAGAACAUCGGAAACUCCUCAGCAAUGUUACUGCACAUGUAAAUUAAGCUGGCAGAUCACUUACAGCAAUUGUUGUCAUCUCUCAGCAUCACUGACAGCACCUGGAAAAUCUCAGCUGAUUGAAUGGAAAUGCACAAUAAUUCUUUUGGAGCCCUGAGGGGAGAUCCCAUCUUGAAGGACUAGCAUCAGUCAGGAGAUUAGUUGAGAGAUGCUGACAAUGUUGCUGGACACAGAUUGCCAGAACUCUGCAGAAUUUUCAAGGAAGUCCUCUCUUGCUCAAAGACUAGAAACAGAAGACAGCAAUAAAAAAAUCAUCAACUCUUCUUCCCCAGAUGAAGAAUUCUUCAGUUUAAAUUUGUAUAUGUUCAUACUUUUUUUGUCAACUCUCUUCUGCUUGUUUACUUACUCUGCUUAUUCUUACAUUAUAUCUACUGAAUGCAAAAAUCUGAAUAGCUGAUUUUUGGGUCUCUAGUCCUUAAACAACUUGGGCUGAGUGAUAAGAAACUGUGUAAUUCUAUAAAUUUUUGGCAAGCUA